UGAAAGGGAAGCGCCCGAACUAGACCUGUGGCUGUGGGCACUGCUGACGUUCCCGGGAGUCAUCGGCGUGGUACUAUUCUGCUGCGGAUACUUCUACGUGGCAAACUUGCAGCGCCACGAGAAUGGGUGGCACACGCCCGAUGAUCACGCAAACGACCACGCCUCGCACGGCCAUCGCGCGACCUUUCGUCAUCCCAAGAAGGGAAAGUACCUGUUCCUCAUCUACCUCGCCACGUACAGUGUCAUUCUCGCCUAUGUAGAGGUCCUGAA
rnacentral:lncRNA from 1 species